CGCACAUUGCGCCCCUCGGUAUUCUGGGGGGCAUGCCUGUUCGAGCGUCAUUUCAACCCUCAAGCUCUGCUUGGCCUUGGGCGUCACCGGUCCCCGGUGUGCCCCAAAACCAGUGGCGGUGCCAUCUGGCUCUGAGCGCAGUACACACUCUCGCUACAGACGCCGGCUGGACGCUGGCCAGCAACCCCCAACUUACCAAGGUUGACCUCGGAUCAGGUAGGGAUACCCGCUGAACUUAA
rnacentral:misc_RNA from 1 species